rnacentral:rRNA from 1 species
AGAGUUUGAUCCUGGCUCAGGACGAACGCUUGCGGCGUGCCUAAGAAAUGCAAGUCGAGCGGGGUUAUACGCUGAACGAAGCUUCGGCAGAGUUCUUGUAUAGCCUAGCGGCGAACGGUCGCGUAACACGUAAGCAACCUGCCCUGAAGUGUGGGAUAGCCCGCCGAAAGGCGGAUUAAUACCGCAUGUGGAUAUUUCCC